UACGUAGGGUGCAAGCGUUGUCCGGAAUUAUUGGGCGUAAAGCGUGCGUAGGUGGUUUGUUAAGUCUGAUGUGAAAUCCCCGGGCUCAACCUGGGAAUGGCAUUGGAUACUGGCAGGCUAGAGUGCGGUAGAGGGUGGUGGAAUUCCCGGUGUAGCAGUGAAAUGCGUAGAGAUCGGGAGGAACAUCUGUGGCGAAGGCGGCCACCUGGACCAGCACUGACACUGAGGCACGAAAGCGUGGGGAGCAAACAGG
rnacentral:rRNA from 1 species